rnacentral:rRNA from 1 species
UACGAAGGGGACUAGCGUUGUUCGGAAUUACUGGGCGUAAAGCGCACGUAGGCGGAUUUGUAAGUCAGGGGUGAAAUCCCGGGGCUCAACCUCGGAACUGCCUUUGAUACUGCAAAUCUCGAGUCCGAUAGAGGUGGGUGGAAUUCCUAGUGUAGAGGUGAAAUUCGUAGAUAUUCGCAAGAACACCAGUGGCGAAGGCGGCUCACUGGCCCGAUACUGACGCUGAGGCACGAAAGCGUGGGGAGCAAACAGG